UACCUAACAUACUCGGCCCUAAUUGUCGG
rnacentral:piRNA from 1 species